rnacentral:rRNA from 1 species
UACGAGAGGCCCAAACGUUAUUCGGAUUUACUGGGCUUAAAGAGUUCGUAGGCGGCGCGGAAAGUAGGGUGUGAAAGCCCUCGGCUCAACCGAGGAAUUGCGCUCUAAACUGUCGCGCUCGAGGAACCUAGAGGUGAGCAGAACUGAUGGUGGAGCGGUGAAAUGCGUUGAUAUCAUCAGGAAUACCGGAGGCGAAGGCGGCUCACUGGGGGUCAUCUGACGCUGAGGAACGAAAGCCAGGGGAGCAAACGGG